rnacentral:misc_RNA from 1 species
GUUGUCCUUUGCUCCUGUCGGUUGUGUCCGCGCUCCGGAGCCUGGCUGGGGCCUCUCGACAUUCUCCGAAUCUCCGAAUCAUUCUGGCAACGGGCCGUGCACACACCUGUGCGCUAUCACCCUCCACCGGAGAGUUAACGACUUGGCAAACGAUUGGCCAUAAUAGCAUUCAUUGAAUCCGAAAGAGCAAAUGUCGGGCCUCAUGUCGUUCCCAUUUAAAAGCCACAGCUGCAUUGGCUUUUGCCACUGAACACUAGCACUUACUCGUACUCGUACUUGUACUCGUACAUAUGUACUAUACGGAUUGUGGUCCCUACUAUGACGCUCUUACAAAGACUUACAUCCACGGCAGCCACCACGGCCAGGACAAUUCUCGAGGGGAGCUUUAGCAGCAGCAGCAGUAACGCCAUCAGUAGGACAAAGGAGUCACAGUUCCAGUUGCAGUUAGAGCCAUUCACCGUACCGAUGCCAUUGCUGGAGGCUUCGGCAUCACAUGCCCGAUAUUUGAAUUUCAUUGCCGACGGUCUCGUGGACGACGGUGCUGGGAGUGCAGGAAGCGGCGGCAGCGGCAGCAGCAUCAGCAUCAGCAGCAGCUCGGUCACCAUCGAAGACGUUGUGUCUGGACGAGGACAGGACAUCAAUGCCAGUGCCGCCGCUGCCGACGACGAUGCCGAGGGCAGCACACAUCUGACAUUCGUCUUCGUCAAGUGUUUCAUUAUUGGUUUCAUCAUACUGGCCGCCAUCCUGGGCAACAUGCUGGUGAUUGUGUCCGUUAUGCGCCACCGGAAAUUGCGCAUCAUUACCAACUACUUUGUGGUUUCACUGGCCGUGGCCGACAUGCUGGUGGCCCUCUGUGCGAUGACAUUUAAUGCCUCCGUUAUGAUAUCGGGCAAAUGGAUGUUCGGCUCCAUCAUGUGCGACAUGUGGAACAGCUUUGAUGUCUACUUCUCCACGGCCAGCAUAAUGCACCUCUGCUGCAUAUCGGUGGACAGGUACUAUGCCAUUGUCCAGCCACUGGACUAUCCGCUCAUUAUGACGCAUCGGCGGGUCGGCUACAUGCUCCUGAUGGUCUGGCUGUCGCCGGCGCUGCUCUCCUUUCUGCCCAUCUGCUCGGGCUGGUACACAACGAGCGAGAACUGGAAGUAUCUCAAGUCGAAUCCCCAUAUAUGCGAAUUUAAAGUGAACAAGGCGUAUGCCAUUGUCAGUUCGUCGAUGAGCUUCUGGAUACCGGGAAUCGUGAUGCUGUCGAUGUAUUAUCGCAUUUACCAGGAGGCCGACCGGCAGGAGCGUCUCGUGUACAGGUCCAAAGUGGCGGCUCUCCUCCUGGAGAAGCAUCUGCAAAUUAGCCAGAUACCCAAGCCCCGGCCGAGCAUUCAGGUGGAGCAAUCGACCAUAACGACGAUGCGGAGGGAGCGAAAGGCGGCCCGCACUCUGGGCAUCAUAAUGAGCGCGUUCCUCCUCUGCUGGCUGCCCUUCUUCCUAUGGUACAUCGUCUCGUCCCUCUGCGAUAGCUGCAUUACUCCGCGUGUCGUGGUGGGCAUCCUCUUUUGGAUCGGCUACUUCAACUCGGCAUUGAACCCCAUUAUCUAUGCAUACUUCAAUCGCGAUUUCAGGGCUGCCUUCAAGAAGACGCUCAAGACUUAGUUAAGAGCUCCAGCGACUGCUGCAACGACCAAGGACGGGGACAGCCACACGGCCACGGCCACGAGAAUGAGAAUACGAAUGCGAAUGUGAGUGAGAAGUACAACAGCCACAUCGAGAAGAGCCACCGCCAUAGGGGCGCACAUUUUGGUAGCUACGAGUACCUAUUGUAUCUCCUGCAGCCACAUUGGCCCAUAAGUAAGCUGCUGCUCCUAUGCGUUCAUCGAUUGUCGCCCCAGCCACCGGAGGGGCGGCCGGGAUCUGGACUUUGGCGGCCCCAGCAGGAGGGGG